AGGAAUGUGUCUUAGAAAAGAAGAACGAAACUCAACAAAAAAAUAACUCACUCUGGAAGCCAAAUUAAAAUACCUUCGGAAACGAUAAAAACUGAAGAUGUAGUUAAAAAACAACAGAUGUAAAACAGGAAACUUGCACCAAGACACCUGAAAGUGGUUAUUUGAAAGAAAUCGAUGAAAAUCUUUUCAACCUGCCCGGAGACAUUCCUGUCACUCAUUGUGUUGCUGAGGACUUGCGGGUGAGAGCUGGAAUCGCCGUGGAAUUUAAACAACAUUUCGGUGGUAUUGGACAAUUGUUUGAUCAAAAUCUGACCGUAGGCGAUGUUGGUGUGAUUAUCAAUGACCGUAAUGAGACCGCUUUUUACAUAAUUACGAAGAAAUCUAGUGGCGAAAAACCAAUCUUGCAAACAUUAGGUCUACUCCUUAAGGUCUCUAUUGGUAAAAAUGAAAGCGAUGAAUUUAACAGAGUAGGGAAUUCCAAAUAUUGGUUUCGGGUUGGACGGUCUAGAUUGGACGAAAAUUAAAGAGCUUAUUGCAAGUAUCUUUGCCUGGAUCCUGGAUAUCUCUAAUAGUUUGCAUCCCGUCUAAAAUAUUCAACCACAUACCGCCGCCACUUUUGAAAUCAUUUAUUACACCAAAAGAUUUAUCGAAAAUGGAAAAUAAGAGCGAUAUCCUGCUGUUCGUCGACCUGGAACAGUCAAAAAAGAGUAAUUGGACGAACGAUAUAGUGGAUAGAGUAAAUGCUCGAUAUCCAUCGUUCAAAGAAAAGUAAUUAUAUUUAAAUUUUACUUGCACUGUUUUAC